GAAAAGAACUUUGAAGAAAGAGUUCAAGAGAACGUGAAACUACCACGAGGUUAAAGCGGAUGUACAUACGUAGCCGAAAAGGGGGCCUCAUCUCCUCGAGCCUCCGGAGGCCGUUACGGUCGGACCGUCGCCGCCCUUUCCCUUUUCGGGGUUAGGCUCCGAGCGAAGGCCGUCGUGGCGCGUCUACCGGCAGGAAAGUGGGGUGAACUUCCCUCCUUAAGUAGGCAGUCGCGGCCGCUCGAGAGUUGUCUAAGGCUUGGAAGUUGGGAACCGACCGGCGUGGGAACGCCGGCGGGGACGCUACCUCGAUUCUGGCGGACUCUCGGGCGGUUCAUUACGGACGACGUAGGUCGCUAAUGGCCUCGUCGUACGCGGCUGUUGAUGCGAUCGUUCAUCCGUCCCGUCUUGAAACACGGACCAAGGAGUCUAACAUGUGCGCGAGUCAACGGGUUGGCUAAACCCUAAGGCGCAACGAAAGUAAAAAAAGAGAGCCCUCACGGGAUCUCAUUGGGUCGAUCCGUGCUCCCGCAGUGGACCGGCGCAGACCCGGGGCUCGCCGCUACCUCCUCGAGACUCGUYUCGAGGAGGGUGGCGGGCACCUAGAGCGUACAUGCUAGUACCCGAAAGAUGGUGAUCUAUGCUUGGCCAGGAUGAAGCCAGAGGAAACUCUGGUGGAGGUCCGUAGCGAUUCUGACGUGCAAAUCGAUCGUCAGAGCUGGGUAUAGGGGCGAAAGACCAAUCGA
rnacentral:rRNA from 1 species